CUACGGGCCGCUCCAGUGGGGAAUAUUGGACAAUGGGGGAAACCCUGAUCCAGCAAUGCCGCGUGUGUGAAGAAGGCCUGCGGGUUGUAAAGCACUUUCGGUUGGGAGGACUGCUUCUAGCACUAAUAUUGUUGGAAGUUGACGUUACCUUCAGAAGAAGCACAGGCUAACUCCGUGCCAGCAGCCGCGGUAAUACGGGGGGUGCAAGCGUUAAUCGGAAUUACUGGGCGUAAAGCGCGCGUAGGCGGCUAGAUCAGUCGGGUGUGAAAGCCCCGGGCUUAACCUGGGAACUGCAUCCGAUACUGUCUAGCUUGAGUACAGGAGAGGAGAGUGGAAUUCCACAUGUAGCGGUGAAAUGCGUAGAUAUGUGGAGGAACACCAAUGGCGAAGGCAGCUCUCUGGCCUGAUACUGACGCUGAGGUGCGAAAGCGUGGGGAGCAAACAGGAUUAGAUACCCCAGUAGUC
rnacentral:rRNA from 1 species